rnacentral:tmRNA from 1 species
GGGGCUGAAAUUAGCUCGACGGUUGAACUUUAACAAGCUUAGAUGGCAGGCCGGGGCGCACUGAACGUUAUCCGGUGCAAUCCAAUUAAAUGCCAACGCAUUUGAUCGCGUAGUAGCGAAGGUUCAAAAUGGCUUUCUAGCCAUCUUUGGCACCCCAGCUCUCGCAAAAGCUUAAGUUUAAACUGAAGCCACGCCAGAAACGACAUCAGAUAGUUUCUUAGAGCGUGUCAUAUAUCUGGUCGCCUUAGCAGCGAGUGGUCCGCCCGCUGCUAACUAAGACUAAUGGACUUUAGCCGGCCUUAUUUUGGCUGUUCCCUGCAGUUCGGCUUAAGAAAUCUCAAACAGCCUAAGCCUGUAGUCAUCAAGCUAGUUAUCAAUCGGACGUGGGCGCAAUUCCCACCAGCUCCACCA